rnacentral:rRNA from 1 species
GAUGAACGCUGGCGGCGUGCCUAAUACAUGCAAGUCGAGCGAACGGACGAGAAGCUUGCUUCUCUGAUGUUAGCGGCGGACGGGUGAGUAACACGUGGAUAACCUACCUAUAAGACUGGGAUAACUUCGGGAAACCGGAGCUAAUACCGGGUAAUAUUUUGAACCGCAUGGUUCAAAAGUGAAAGACGGUCUUUCUGUCACUUAUAGAUGGAUCCGCGCUGCAUUAGCUAGUUGGUAAGGUAACGGCUUACCAAGGCAACGAUGCAUAGCCGACCUGAGAGGGUGAUCGGCCACACUGGAACUGAGACACGGUCCAGACUCCUACGGGAGGCAGCAGUAGGGAAUCUUCCGCAAUGGGCGAAAGCCUGACGGAGCAACGCCGCGUGAGUGAUGAAGGUCUUCGGAUCGUAAAACUCUGUUAUUAGGGAAGAACAUAUGUGUAAGUAACUGUGCACAUCUUGACGGUACCUAAUCAGAAAGCCACGGCUAACUACGUG